rnacentral:rRNA from 1 species
GUAGGUGGCAAGCGUUGUCCGGAAUUAUUGGGCGUAAAGCGCGCGCAGGCGGUCCUUUAAGUCUGAUGUGAAAGCCCACGGCUCAACCGUGGAGGGUCAUUGGAAACUGGGGGACUUGAGUGCAGAAGAGAAGAGUGGAAUUCCACGUGUAGCGGUGAAAUGCGUAGAGAUGUGGAGGAACACCAGUGGCGAAGGCGACUCUUUGGUCUGUAACUGACGCUGAGGCGCGAAAGCGUGGGGAGCAAACAGGAUUAGAUACCCUGGUAGUCCACGCCGUAAACGAUGAGUGCUAAGUGUUAGAGGGUUUCCGCCCUUUAGUGCUGCAGCAAACGCAUUAAGCACUCCGCCUGGGAGUACGGCCGCAAGGCUG